rnacentral:rRNA from 1 species
UACGGGGGGCGCAAGCGUUGUUCGGAUUUACUGGGCGUAAAGGGCGCGUAGGCGGUCAGCACAAGUCAGUUGUGAAAUCUCCGGGCUUAACUCGGAAAGGUCAACUGAUACUGUGCGACUAGAGUGCGGAAGGGGCAACUGGAAUUCUCGGUGUAGCGGUGAAAUGCGUAGAUAUCGAGAGGAACACCUGCGGCGAAGGCGGGUUGCUGGGCCGACACUGACGCUGAUGCGCGAAAGCCAGGGGAGCGAACGGG